GACGAACCGUGCGAACGUUAUUCGGAAUCACUGGGCUUAAAGCGCGUGUAGGUGGAUGGGAACGUCGGUCGUUGAAAUCCCCCGGCUUAACCGGGGAAGUGGCGCCGAUACGCCCCGUCUCGAGGAACGUAGGGGGAGCUGGAACUUCCGGUGGAGCGGUGAAAUGCGUUGAGAUCGGAAGGAACGCCCGUGGCGAAAGCGAGCUCCUGGACGUUUUCUGACACUGAGACGCGAAAGCCAGGGGAGCGAACGGG
rnacentral:rRNA from 1 species